rnacentral:sRNA from 1 species
UGACAGAAGCAUGAUAUAAAACCCAUGUUUCAAGAAUAUGGUGUUGAAUGUAAAAAGGUUUAAAUGAAUUGAUUUAGCUACCUAUGUCAUCAAAGUCCACUUAUCUUUUCGGUCAAAAGUCUUUAGAGAAUUUCAUAGUUAAAAUUAUUAUUCAGUUUUA